rnacentral:rRNA from 1 species
GACAGAGGGUGCAAACGUUGCUCGGAAUCACUGGGCGUAAAGGGCGCGUAGGCGGGAAUGUAAGUCGGGCGUGAAAUCCCUAGGCUCAACCUAGGAACUGCACUCGAAACUGCGUUUCUUGAGUAUCGGAGAGGAAAGCGGAAUUCCUGGUGUAGAGGUGAAAUUCGUAGAUAUCAGGAGGAACACCGGUGGCGAAGGCGGCAUCCUGGACCGACACUGACGCUGAGGAGCGAAAAGCCAGGGGAGCCAAACAGG